rnacentral:rRNA from 1 species
AUUGAACGCUGGCGGCAUGCCUAACACAUGCAAGUCGAGCGAGUGGCGGACGGGUGAGUAAUGUAUGGGGACUGCCCGAUAGAGGGGGAUAACUACUGGAAACGGUAGCUAAUACCGCAUACUAUCGCAUAACCCAUAUGGCAUUAUCUAGUCGGUGAGGUAAUGGCUCACCAAGCCGACGAUCACUAGCUGGUCUGAGAGGAUGAGCAGCAAGACUGAGAGUGAGACACGUCCGAGACUACUACGGAGGCAGGAGUGGGGAAUAUUGUGCAAAGUGGGCAACCAUGACAAAGCCAUGGCGCGUAACCGAAGAAGGCCUUAGGGUUGUAAAGUUCUUACGGUAGCGAGGCGUUAACUACAGAAGAAGCGGCGGCUAACUCCGUGCCAGCAGCCGCGGUAAUUC